rnacentral:rRNA from 1 species
CAUGCAGUCGUACGAGAGUUUUUAACUCAAGUGGCGGACGGGUGAGUAACACGUAAGAAUUUACCUUUAGGAGGGGGACAACAACGGGAAACUGUUGCUAAUACCCCAUAUGCUUUCGAGUGAAAUGGAUUUAUCCGCCUAGAGAGAGGCUUGCGGCUGAUUAGCUUGUUGGUGAGGUAAUGGCUCACCAAGGCGACGAUCAGUAUCUGGUUUGAGAGGACGAUCAGACACACUGGAACUGAGACACGGUCCAGACUCCUACGGGAGGCAGCAGUGGGGAAUUUUCCGCAAUGGGCGAAAGCCUGACGGAGCAAUACCGCGUGAGGGAUGACGGCCUAUGGGUUGUAAACCUCUUUUUUCAGGGAGGAAUCAAUGACGUGUACCUGAAGAAUAAGCAUCGGCUAACUCCGUGCCAGCAGCCGCGGUAAGACGGAGGAUGCAAGUGUUAUCCGGAAUCACUGGGCGUAAAGCGUCUGUAGGUGGUCAAAUAAGUCAACUGUUAAAUCUUGAGGCUCAACCUCAAAACCGCAGUCGAAACUAUUAGACUAGAGUAUAGUAGGGGUAAAGGGAAUUUCCAGUGGAGCGGUGAAAUGCGUAGAGAUUGGAAGGAACACCGAUGGCGAAGCACUUUACUGGGCUAUUACUAACACUCAGAGACGAAAGCUAGGGUAGCAAAUGGGAUUAGAUACCCCAGUAGUCCUAGCUGUAACAAUGGAUACUAGAUGUUGACAGAUCGACUGUGCAGUAUCAAGCUAACGCGUUAAGUAUCCCGCCUGGGAAGUAUGCUCGCAAGAGUG